rnacentral:rRNA from 1 species
UACGGGGGGGGCAAGCGUUGUUCGGAAUUACUGGGCGUAAAGGGUUAGUAGGUGGCCGGCUAAGUCAGACGUGAAAUCCCUCAGCUUAACUGGGGAACUGCGUCUGAGACUGAUUGGCUUGAGGGCAGGAGAGGAACGCGGAAUUCCAGGUGUAGCGGUGAAAUGCGUAGAUAUCUGGAGGAACACCGGUGGCGAAGGCGGCGUUCUGGACUGUUUCUGACACUGAAUAACGAAAGCCAGGGGAGCAAACGGG